CCCUUAGAUGUUCUGGGCCGCACACGCGCUACACUGAAGGAGGCAGCGUGUACUCCUGGAUCGAAAGAUUUGGGUAACCCGCGAAUCUCCUUCGGGCUAGGGAUUGAGGUUUGCAAUUAUCCUUCAUGAACGAGGAAUUCCCAGUAAGUGCAAGUCAUAAGCUUGCGCUGACUACGUCCCUGCCCUUUGUACACACCGCCCGUCGCUACUACCGAUUGAAUGAUUUAGUGAGGACUUCGGACUGGGACCGAUGCGGCUUUCGGGCUGCGUCGGUAUUCUGGAAAGAUGUCCAAACUGUAUCAUUUAGAGGAAGUAAAAGUCGUAACA
rnacentral:rRNA from 1 species